UACAGAGGUCUCAAGCGUUGUUCGGAUUCAUUGGGCGUAAAGGGUGUGUAGGUGGCGCGCUAAGUCGGGUGUGAAAUUUCGGAGCUUAACUUCGAAACUGCAUUCGAUACUGGCGUGCUUGAGGACUGGAGAGGAGACUGGAAUUUACGGUGUAGCAGUGAAGUGCGUAGAUAUCGUAAGGAAGACCAGUGGCGAAGGCGGGUCUCUGGACAGUUCCUGACACUGAGACACGAAGGCCAGGGGAGCAAACGGG
rnacentral:rRNA from 1 species